rnacentral:rRNA from 1 species
UCCUACGGGAGGCAGCAGUGAGGAAUAUUGGUCAAUGGACGAGAGUCUGAACCAGCCAAGUAGCGUGAAGGAUGACUGCCCUAUGGGUUGUAAACUUCUUUUAUAAAGGAAUAAAACGAGGCACGUGUGCCUUUUUGCAUGUACUUUAUGAAUAAGGAUCGGCUAACUCCGUGCCAGCAGCCGCGGUAAUACGAAGGAUCCGAGCGUUAUCCGGAUUUAUUGGGUUUAAAGGGUGCGUAGGCGGUUUUUUAAGUUAGUGGUUAAACGUCGGGGCUUCACCUUGAUUUGCCAUUAAUACUGUAAGA